rnacentral:rRNA from 1 species
AGUGAACGCUGGCGGUAGGCCUAACACAUGCAAGUCGAACGGCAGCACAGUAAGAGCUUGCUCUUACGGGUGGCGAGUGGCGGACGGGUGAGGAAUACAUCGGAAUCUACUUUUUCGUGGGGGAUAACGUAGGGAAACUUACUCUAAUACCGCAUACGACCUACGGGUGAAAGCAGGGGAUCUUCGGACCUUGCGCGAUUGAAUGAGCCGAUGUCGGAUUAGCUAGUUGGCGGGGUAAAGGCCCACCAAGGCGACGAUCCGUAGCUGGUCUGAGAGGAUGAUCAGCCACACUGGAACUGGGACGCGGUCCAGACUCCUACGGGAGGCAGCAGUGGGGAAUAUUGGACAAUGGGCGCAAGCCUGAUCCAGCCAUACCGCGUGGGUGAAGAAGGCCUUCGGGUUGUAAAGCCCUUUUGUUGGGAAAGAAAAGCAGCAGGUUAAUACCCCGCUGUUCUGACGGUACCCAAAGAAUAAGCACCGGCUAACUUCGUG